AAAAAAAAAAAAAAAAAGGGGAAAAAACUAAGAAUGGAGAAAUAAUCGUUGAUUGUACAGUAUUGGACGAAGAGAGCUACAAUGAAAUGGGACCAUAACACAAGCAACCCCGAAACUUGUAGAAACGAAAAUCCAAAAUCAAAGAAACAAAACCCUAAAUUCAAUUGUACAAUAUAAAUAAUAUAACUAUAAGAACAGAAUACAACAGAAUUUAGGGCUUCUGAAAAGGGGAAGAAAACCCUAAUCCUAAUUUAAUUGAAAAACAAAGCUCAAAUAUGCACGGAUCAUGUGGUGAAACGAGCACCUCCACUUUAAUUAGAAUUACGUUCCUGCUCUGGUUAAAAAUCUCCGACCGUGGCGAUCAAUUAAGCCACAAAGCUUCAAAAGGAACUCGAGAGAAGGAGACACCAGGAGAGAAAUAGCGCGUCUGAGUCGAUGCUUGAUAAUGAUAAAAAGAGAGUGGAAGCGGAAA
rnacentral:misc_RNA from 1 species